rnacentral:rRNA from 1 species
GAGACCCACGCCAACAGUUGCCAGCUCGUCCUCCGGGAUGGUGGGGACACUGUUGGGACCGCCUCUGCUAAAGAGGAGGAAGGAAUGGGCAACGGUAGGUCAGCAUGCCCCGAAUUAUCCGGGCUACACGCGGGCUACAAUGGGUGGGACAAUGGGUAUCGACACCGAGAGGUGAAGGCAAUCUCCUAAACCCAUCCUUAGUUCGGAUUGUGGGCUGCAACUCGCCCACAUGAAGCUGGAAUCUGCAGUAAUCGUGUCUCAACAUGGCACGGUGAAUAU